rnacentral:lncRNA from 1 species
AAUACUUAAAAGUUACUGUAUCUUUAAUUUACUUAGAAAGAAAUUGGAACCCAGAGAUUUGAAGACUCCUGGCGCUUUAAAUAACUAUUUUGUGACAACCGGGAUCUAGAACUCUAUAACCUUGACUUCCAGUCCCAUGUUGAGUCCCUAGAGCAUGCUACAGCCCCACAUCUUAAGUCAUCUUCUGGGUAAAUUGAAAGUUGGAGAGGAUAAUGGGACAUUUUAAUUUUUAUGGAUCUCAAACAACAUUUGGCUCAAAAAUCUGUGAUUUCGUUGAUUUGCCCUAGUGUUCCAUUUUCAAUAUGCCUGAUUUUCAAAAAACUCUUUCUGUACUCUCUGAACUUCUACCACCUUAGAGAAAAAAAAAGAUUCCCUAGGGCAUGA